GAUGAACGCUGGCGGCGUGCCUAAUACAUGCAAGUCGAGCGAACGGACGAGAAGCUUGCUUCUCUGAUGUUAGCGGCGGACGGGUGAGUAACACGUGGAUAACCUACCUAUAAGACUGGGAUAACUUCGGGAAACCGGAGCUAAUACCGGAUAAUAUUUUGAACCGCAUGGUUCAAAAGUAAAAGACGGUCUUGCUGUCACUUAUAGAUGGAUCCGCGCUGCAUUAGCUAGUUGGUAAGGUAACGGCUUACCAAGGCAACGAUGCAUAGCCGACCUGAGAGGGUGAUCGGCCACACUGGAACUGAGACACGGUCCAGACUCCUACGGGAGGCAGCAGUAGGGAAUCUUCCGCAAUGGGCGAAAGCCUGACGGAGCAACGCCGCGUGAGUGAUGAAGGUCUUCGGAUCGUAAAACUCUGUUAUUAGGGAAGAAUAUAUGUGUAAGUAACUGUGCACAUCUUGACGGUACCUAAUCAGAAAGCCACGGCUAACUACGUGCCAGCAGCCGCGGUAAUACGUAGGUGGCAAGCGUUAUCCGGAAUUAUUGGGCGUAAAGCGCGCGUAGGCGGUUUUUUAAGUCUGAUGUGAAAGCCCACGGCUCAACCGUGGAGGGUCAUUGGAAACUGGAAAACUUGAGUGCAGAAGAGGAAAGUGGAAUUCCAUGUGUAGCGGUGAAAUGCGCAGAGAUAUGGAGGAACACCAGUGGCGAAGGCGACUUUCUGGUCUGUAACUGACGCUGAUGUGCGAAAGCGUGGGGAUCAAACAGGAUUAGAUACCCUGGUAGUCCACGCCGUAAACGAUGAGUGCUAAGUGUUAGGGGGUUUCCGCCCCUUAGUGCUGCAGCUAACGCAUUAAGCACUCCGCCUGGGGAGUACGACCGCAAGGUUGAAACUCAAAGGAAUUGACGGGGACCCGCACAAGCGGUGGAGCAUGUGGUUUAAUUCGAAGCAACGCGAAGAACCUUACCAAAUCUUGACAUCCUUUGACAACUCUAGAGAUAGAGCCUUCCCCUUCGGGGGACAAAGUGACAGGUGGUGCAUGGUUGUCGUCAGCUCGUAUCGUGAGAUGUUGGGUUAAGUCCCGCAACGAGCGCAACCCUUAAGCUUAGUUGCCAUCAUUAAGUUGGGCACUCUAAGUUGACUGCCGGUGACAAACCGGAGGAAGGUGGGGAUGACGUCAAAUCAUCAUGCCCCUUAUGAUUUGGGCUACACACGUGCUACAAUGGACAAUACAAAGGGCAGCGAAACCGCGAGGUCAAGCAAAUCCCAUAAAGUUGUUCUCAGUUCGGAUUGUAGUCUGCAACUCGACUACAUGAAGCUGGAAUCGCUAGUAAUCGUAGAUCAGCAUGCUACGGUGAAUACGUUCCCGGGUCU
rnacentral:rRNA from 1 species